rnacentral:rRNA from 1 species
AUUGAACGCUGGCGGCAGGCCUAACACAUGCAAGUCGAGCGAGCGGCGGACGGGUGAGUAAUGUAUGGGGACUGCCCGAUAGAGGGGGAUAACAACUGGAAACGGUUGCUAAUACAGCAUACUAUCGGAUAAUCCAUAUGUGAUUAGCUAGUAGGUGAGGUAAUGGCCCACAUCGGCGACGAUCCCUAGCUGGUCUGAGAGGAUGAUCAGCCAAACAGGGACUGAGACACGGCCCAGACUCCUACGGAGGCAGCAGUGGGGAAUAUUGCACAAUGGGCGCAAGCCUGAUGCAGGCAUGCCGCGUGUAUGAAGAAGGCCCUAGGGUGGUAGAGUACUUUCAUUCGGGAGGCGUUAGCGGCAGAAGGAGCACCGGCUAACUCCGUGCCAGCAGCCGCGGUGAUUC